UGGACAUGCAAUCUGCUACAGCGUUGCAGUGCUCAGGAUGGGUCCCUAAGGUGAUGGGCAGUGAUCGCAACCAGUAAAAGGCUACCCAUGAUCAAUUUUAUGCCAUUCCAAAUGCACCAUGACAACACUCGAUCGAUCAUGACAUGUUUGAUCGGUUCAAGAUGACCAGUACAGCAGAGAACGAGUUGUGACGGGUGUCCGGUAAUUGUACCAUACCGAGAACUGGAAAUAAAUAUAGCAGCGUCAUGUAAAUCCGUACGUACUGUUUUGUAUAUGUUUCUACGUGAUAGACUGACAACAAUACUGUCUCAUGCACAAGUUGCGUGUGGUUUAAACUUUAAACCAUCAUAACACAAAUUAUAAAGACUUUUGAGUACUCUUUUUGAAAUUAGGUUAGUGUAUAAUCGAGUUUAUAACACACACGCAAACACAAACACACAUAUAUAUAUAAUACUCAAAUCCUCCGGGUUAAAUGGACGUUUACGAGUACCCCCUUGGCCUUACACAGCCAAUUAGAGCAGCUUUCCAUCUUCAAGGGCUUUUUCUCCUCAUCGUUUGAUGUCGUUUGCUGCCCUCUACAAUCAUGAGUCCAUCCGCCAUCAUUACCAGGAGAGAAAUCUCUCUCUCUCUCUCUCUCCCUCUCUCCUACAUGGCAAUCACAUGGAUACAUACACAGGAGGCAACCCAUCUAUAUUUAUAUAUAGGAGCUUGCAACACACUCCUCUCAAUUUCCACUCAUUUUAUCUUCUACUCCUAAUUUUUAUAGGAAGGCCAAUAAAAACCAAACAAAAAUGUGUACCAACAACGCCGAAAAGAUUCCGUCUGGCACAGUCCGUUCUUCUGAAAGAAAGCAAAGAUCAAAGCGAUCUAAAGUUCAAGUUCAAUGGCUGACCUGCAGAUGGAGCUAACGUGUGGAUGGCUUUCAGCAGGAAAAAGUGUGAAGAAAAAUUAGACAAAGAUGUUGAACUAAAGAACCUGAAGUUAUAUUUGGAGAACAAAAGUAUAAUCGAAGAGAAUGAGAAGCUGAGGAGAAAAGCCAAUCUUCUUCACCAGGAGAAUUUAGCCUUAAUGUCUGAGUUUCAGAAGAAAUUCCCAGAUUUGAAUCGUUCCUCUACCCUGGUUCAUCUUCACAAACACUGAUAUCAGAAGAGGAGUAGUCAUAUAAAUAUUCUCUAUUCCGGCGCCUCUCCAAUCUCUAGCUUUCUUCUUCUCUGUUUCUGAAUACAUGUUUUUGGAGAAUUAGAAGUCCUAUCUAAUUUCCGGGGCUCAUAUGUUAAUGUUAUAAUUUCCCGAAAAUAUUGUAAGAGAUCAUGGAAGUUUGGCCACCAUGGUUAUGUUAAUGAGUUUCUUCAAACAGAGCUGUAGGGGCACAAAUGAUGCGCUAUAUGAUGAAUACCUUCUUUCAGACCCAA